rnacentral:rRNA from 1 species
UACGGAGGGAGCUAGCGUUGUUCGGAAUUACUGGGCGUAAAGCGCACGUAGGCGGCUUUGUAAGUUAGAGGUGAAAGCCCGGGGCUCAACUCCGGAACUGCCUUUAAGACUGCAUCGCUUGAAUCCAGGAGAGGUGAGUGGAAUUCCGAGUGUAGAGGUGAAAUUCGUAGAGAUCGGGAGGAAGGCCGGUGGCGAAGGCGGCGCUCUGGAACAUUUC